AAUGAACGCUGGCGGCGCGCCUAAUACAUGCAAGUCGAGCGAGAAGACGUAGCAAUACGUUUGUAAAGCGGCGAACGGGUGAGGAAUACAUGGGGUAACCUACCCUCGAGUGGGGAAGUAACUAGCCGAAAGGUUAGCUAAUACCGCGUACGCUUCUUGGACUUCGGUUUCAGGGAGGAAAGACGAUACCGUGGGUAGUCGCGCUCUUGGAUGGG
rnacentral:rRNA from 1 species